rnacentral:tRNA from 1 species
GACGGUAUAGCUCAGUGGUAGAGCACAUGCUUAGCACGCACGAGGUCCAGGGUUCAAUUCCCAGUACCUCCG